GAGCUGGUGGCAGCUGCUUUGUUAUCUGAGACCUCCCCCAACCUAAGGUCAGACACAGAUUCUGAGCUCAGAGGUUUGGAAUCUCAGCUUGCACUUGAGCUAUGAAGUUGGUGACAGCAUGUACUGUUCUCUGGACUUUCGGUAUUAUGGGUGAUGCUAAAACCACACAGCCAACUUCAGUGAAGAGUGCUGAAGAAGAACCUGUGCACUUGCCCUGUAACCACUCCACUAUCAGUGGAAGUGAGUACAUACACUGGUAUCGACAGGCUCCCCAACAAGCUCCUGAGUUUGUGAUUCGUGGUCUGAAAAACAAUGAGACCAAUGGAAUGGCCUCUCUGGUCAUCGCUGCUGACAGAAAGUUCAGUAUCUUGAUCCUGCCCCGUGUCACUCUGAGAGACACUGCCGUGUACUACUGCAUGGUGAGAGACACACACUGGGACAGACGGGGCUGCACCUGUGCAAUAUCUCCCCGCAGGGGAAGGGAAACAGCAACAGCCAUCUAAAGAGGCCGCUGCACAAGAACGAGCAGAAGCUCAAAAGAGGAAAAAGAAAAGUAACCGAGAAAGAAGGGGAAAGAAGUAAAAAGAGGAUAGUGAGGAAUUCAAGGAGGAGAGGAUUAAUGGAAUGAAGAGGCUGAGGGGAAAGAGCUAGCAUUGAAAGGACUGAGGAGAUUAUGAGGAGACUAAGAGCCACUAUUGUAAUCCUGCAGUAAAAAGGAGAGGAAAAUGAGAAUUUGCCAGGAUUAUACCUUUUAGUCACAUGUUGCUACCUGCGUGGGUCUCAGUAAAAAAAGUGAGAAUAACCAUUUGGUUGUUCCAAAGGCUUUCUUUUUGGACCCAAGGA